GGGAGUGUAGCUCAGCGGCAGAGCGUCUGCCUCGCCCAUAGAAAAUCCCAGGCGCAAUCCCUGGUGUCUUCA